UACGAAGGGGGCUAGCGUUGUUCGGAAUUACUGGGCGUAAAGCGCGCGCAGGCGGCUAUCCAAGUCAGUGGUGAAAUCCCGAGGCUCAACCUCGGAACUGCCUUUGAUACUGGAGAUCUUGAGUCCGGAAGAGGUAAGUGGAACUGCGAGUGUAGAGGUGAAAUUCGUAGAUAUUCGCAAGAACACCAGUGGCGAAGGCGGCUUACUGGUCCGGAACUGACGCUGAGGUGCGAAAGCGUGGGGAGCAAACAGG
rnacentral:rRNA from 1 species